rnacentral:tRNA from 1 species
GCGGCCCACCCUUCGAUAAACUCAGGAGGGCCGACGGCCGGUCGGCCUUGCGAAGCUUUGCUUCGGGGGUGGACUUCUGGAUCGCGUAGCAGCGUUUGCGUCGGUAUCUGGGCUUGUAGCUCAGUUGCUUAGAGCACACGCUUGAUAAGCGUGGGGUCGGAGGUUCAAGUCCUCCCAGGCCCACCAUGUUACAUGAUAAGGGGCCGUAGCUCAGCUGGGAGAGCACCUGCUUUGCAAGCAGGGGGUCGUCGGUUCGAUCCCGUCCGGCUCCACCAUCGUGUUUUGGUGUAGAGACGGAUAUUGGCAAUCAACGAAAGAAAGAAACAAGUUUGCGGACUUUUAUGAAAGUCUGCCUGUUCUGUAUGAAAUCGUGAAGAGAAGAUGUAAUCGGAUCAACUAUCCAGUUGAUGUCGCAAGAGCUUGCUCAAGCCUUGCAUUAUGAUUGAUGUGUUUAACCGCCAUCACCGAUUG